rnacentral:rRNA from 1 species
AGUGAACGCUGGCGGCAGGCCUAACACGUGCAAGUCGAGCGGCAGCGCGUCCGACCACCCUCGGGUGGUCGGAUGGCGGCGAGCGGCGGACGGGUGAGGAAUGCAUCGGAAUCUGCCUCGUUGUGGGGGAUAACGUAGGGAAACUUACGCUAAUACCGCAUACGACCUACGGGUGAAAGUGGGGGACCUUCGGGCCUCACGCGAUGAGAUGAGCCGAUGCCGGAUUAGCUAGUUGGCGGGGUAAAGGCCCACCAAGGCGACGAUCCGUAGCUGGUCUGAGAGGAUGAUCAGCCACACUGGAACUGAGACACGGUCCAGACUCCUACGGGAGGCAGCAGUGGGGAAUAUUGGACAAUGGGCGCAAGCCUGAUCCAGCAAUGCCGCGUGUGUGAAGAAGGCCUGCGGGUUGUAAAGCACUUUCGAGUGGGGAAGAACGGGCGAGGGUUAAUACCCUAGCCACUGACGUUACCACAGAAGAAGCUAACCGGCUAACUCCGUA